ACAAUUUUAAGUGGUGACAGCCGCGUAUGUGCUUCGUUACCCUCGUAGUAGCGUUAUAUCCGUUUUUGCUGACACGAAAUUUAAUUUUCUGACUUAGUGCGUGAUUCAUUUCGCAAGGAGCGCAUGGAAUAUUAAUCGCGCCGCAGGGGUCAAGAGAAGCAGCAGGCAGCCGGACAAUUAGGAUUAUCACGUUAUGGACCGCAGGUGAUGAGCGU
rnacentral:misc_RNA from 1 species